AUGAUAUAUGUAUAUGUAUUUGUUUUGCUUACUGUAACGGACUGUUACUUGUCGACCGGAGAAAAUGAGUCAAACGACAUCUUCACACUUCUUUCUAGGUAGAAUAACAGCCACACAAAUGACUACGAGGAGAAGGUCGUCGAUGAAUAUUGGAGUCGGAGAGGAAGGCUUUGGUCCUCAAGGCAAGUCAAUGGAGAGGACCCCUUUAAAGAGCUUCCAGAAUGGUCUCUGCGCCUCGUCGUCCACACUCACACCCCUGUUCAGCAAACUCAAGAUAAAGGAGAAUAAAAAGCACUUGAAUUUGAACUCCAUGCCUAGUUGCCCCGUUUCAAGAAUCGAUUUUAGUACCGAGGCUGCCAGGAAGGCCAGUGCUAUUGAAUCCCACCUGCAGCCUCUGGGAGAAAUGGGAGAGUUCAAGGAGAACGCAGAGCCACUCAGAGUAACGGAAGAUGAUCGAUGUUCCCUGGAAUACCGCUUCCCAGAUUCCCUUCCCGUCCUGCCUGCUGUCGGUCUGCCCCAGUCGGAGGCAGUAAGCACCCAGCCGCUGCCAGGCCGCGGAACUGCAGAGGAGACCUACGUUGUAGAUGAGUCCCCAGUUGACACCGUACCCGGUGUGACCACAGGGAGAGUCCGUGACCGUGACGGGGCGUCACAGGGCAAUGUGACGGAACAUCUCUCCGGUGACUCCCCACCAUUUCCGAAAGCGGACUCUCCUGGUGAGAUCAACAGCACUAUGGAUGCCGUCAGCUUAGAGUUCCUUGGAGCAGAUGUAGAGAUUUGGGACCUUCCUGAGGCUUUGGACGGGACAACUCCAGAUUCUACUGUGGGACAAGCAAAUGGAAGCACGUUCAUCGUUCAAGCAAGUGACCCAGAGGAACUACAGACCUUAAAUGAAACGACCCACCUGCAUGGCACCACUGUCCGUGGAGAAGCGAUCAGUGCUCCUGCGAGCCGUUUCGGCAGCAGCAGGGCGGCCGAUGGUCAUUCCCUUGAUAUUUCGAUGAAGAACGUGAGCUUUUUAAGCGAUAACCCUUAUGUUGAUGCAGCGCAUGACUACUGCGUUGCACCAGCUCCUGUCGUGCACAAGGCUGGGGGCUCUGAGAUUCAUCCAGCUGUUCUGUGUUUACUAGAACGCCAGCCAGAUACUUUGGAAAACAUGCAGAGUGAAGAAGACGAUGAUGCCUCACCUACUGCUCUUCCAGGCGUCCCAGUAGCACUAAGUUCCCCAAUUCGAAACGCAUUACCCAUGCAGGACCAAACUGACCAGUUUUCCAGCGCUGAUACAAAACACAGCCCUUUUGCAGAAGAUCUCUGUGUGAAUGCACCAGGAACCGAACAGGCAGAGAGUUUAAUGCCACUUGGAUGCAGCCCUGUGGCUCCCAAGCAGAGUUCUGCCUCUUUGGCUGAAGGGAGCAGAGUCCUGAGUGUGCCACAAAGCGAGUCCCAGGAAGAAGAUUCGGGAAUAGGGAACGUGCUGUCGUCGGAGGCAAGGAGCCUGCAGCUUGCAACUGAGGCUGAGGCAGAGCUGCCUUUUGAGGCAGACCCAUCAGCCUCUCUUCCCCGUCCAUCCCUGGAGGGGUCGAUCUCCGAGUCGUUCCAAAACGUUCUGGCGACCCCGGUGGAAAGGGCCCCCGUAUUAAGCAGAAGCGUCAGCCUGCUCUUGAAGAGUUUGGUGAAUUCUUCCGACAAUCAAGCCGCCGGCUCGCCUGCCGUCGGAACGGGGCGCGGCUCUGAUGGGUGUGACCCCGAUCCCAGGUCUCUUAGCCCAGCUGCUGACUCGGAGCACGACUUCUUCGGCAGUGGCAAGAGAAAGCUGGCAAGCCCCGGUGUUGGCAGUCUCAACAAGUUGUGGAGAGCAAGCCCUUACAGCCCUUUCCCUCAGCCGCAGCUGAACUCCACAGCCGCGAGCCUGGGAGUUAAAGAAGACUGGGAUGUGAGCAUAUUAUCGGGCUUAGAAGAGAAGCCCGAACCUGUCUCUUCGGUAAAGGUUAAUGACGCUCAUCCUGUUAAGGCCUCAAUGGUGGAUAAGCCUGACAAAAUGGGGGUGCACGCAGCAGAAUCUCUCCCUGGAGGAGGGUGCAGUUUGUCCCGCACCAAGGCCCAGGCCCUGCAGCAGCAGCUCCUGCAGAUGGCCGAAAUCCUGAUGUUUCCUUUGCCGUCCGGCGCACAAGGUGCCCCGGCCUCCUCCUCCUCCUCUGUGGAGCUGUGCCCUGUCGGCACCUGUACCACCCCUGUGCACCGGACUGAACGAAGCGUCAACACGUCGGGGGUGUUUGAGAGGAAGAGGGAGAUCUCGGUGGCCGAAAUGGGGACCAACACGGAUUCUCUGCUGUGGAACCUUCCUGACCCUGAGAGCCUUCAAGCCCUCCCCCGGGCGGACCUGGAGAUGCGACUGACCUCGGCCCUGAUCGUGAUGGAGGCCUUGUCGCAGCAGGUGGCCAGUGCGAGGGCCCGUGGCCAGGUGGUGCGCCCGGGACCGUCCAGUCUGAGGGAGACGUUUGUGCAGACGGACCUCACUGAGCUCAGCCAAGUGGAGCACGACAAGGUGGAGCAGCAGUACCAAGAGCUGUACGUGGGGGCCGUGCAGCGCGUCCGGUCCCUGGAGCUGCCUCAGGAAGAACUCCAGGCUCUCCUCCAGAGGCUGAAGGACGUCCGGGAUGAAGUGUUUUCCAUGAGCACGGAUACUGCAGCUGCCCUCACUAUGGCUCAAGAAACAUUUGACCUCAGCAAAGCAAAUCAAGACGCCUCUGCCAAGCAGAUGUCUCGGAUGAAGGGGCUGCAUGGAAGGAGCAUGGAGAUGCUGAGGAAGAUGAGGGAAAAGGUUGUGGAGAGCCAGCGCCAGCGGGAUGGCGCGAGGCAGCAGGUGGAGGAAGCCCUCAGGGCUAAGGAGGCGGCCCAUGCUGUCGCUGAGGCCCUGAGGUGCCACUCCGCCGCCCGGAUCAGAGAGCUGGAGCAGAGCGUGGGCUCGCACCAGGAGCUCGUCGCCGCCCUCAGACUGGCACGCCCGGAGCAGGUACCCCCAGCGUCCUCUGCCACAGCCAGCGUGCACCCAGCGCCCCCCUGUUGGUAGUUUUGGGGUGCAGUUGGGUUUGAAUCUUUUACCUGCUUGUGGUCCUGUUCUGUUCUACCUCUGCUUACAUUAACACACUGGUGUUAUUAAUUUGUUAACACCAGCCUCUGUUUUGGUUUUAUCUGAGGAUGCCCUCAAUGAUGGAGUUGCAGAAUCACUCCAGUCCUUUGAAGAGCUCUGUGAAGCAAUGAAGUCCGAUGGCCUGCAGAUGAGAGAGCAGGUGAGUGGCAGGGUGGGUGAUACAGCUCAGUGUUCAUAAGAAAAUGUGGGUUGACAGGAGCUUGCCUGUAGUCUGAAGAGAGGCUUGACAUUGUCAGAAUCCACUUCCAAAUCCUGCCCGCUUUUCUCUUGUUUCUUUUGUGGUGCUUUCUGAUGAUGUAAACUUUCCUUUUAAGGAUUUUGCAUGCUGGUAUCAGGUUCUCUCAUAGUCUUCUCCGU
ensembl:lincRNA